UUGAUUAGUGGCGAACGGGUGAGUAACACGUGAGUAACCUGCCCAUCACUCUGGGAUAACUCCGGGAAACCGGUGCUAAUACCGGGUAUGACUCCGAUCCGCAUGGGUACGGGGUGGAAAGAUUUAUCGGUGGUGGAUGGACUCGCGGCCUAUCAGCUUGUUGGUGGGGUAAUGGCCUACCAAGGCGACGACGGGUAGCCGGCCUGAGAGGGUGACCGGCCACACUGGGACUGAGACACGGCCCAGACUCCUACGGGAGGCAGCAGUGGGGAAUAUUGCACAAUGGGCGGAAGCCUGAUGCAGCGACGCCGCGUGCGGGAUGACGGCCUUCGGGUUGUAAACCGCUUUCAGCUCUGACGAAGCUUUUGUGACGGUAGGAGCAGAAGAAGCACCGGCUAACUACGUGCCAGCAGCCGCGGUAAUACGUAGGGUGCGAGCGUUGUCCGGAAUUAUUGGGCGUAAAGAGCUUGUAGGCGGCUUGUCGCGUCUGCUGUGAAAGCCCGGGGCUUAACCCCGGGUCUGCAGUGGGUACGGGCAGGCUAGAGUGUGGUAGGGGAGACUGGAAUUCCUGGUGUAGCGGUGGAAUGCGCAGAUAUCAG
rnacentral:rRNA from 1 species